GACGAACGCUGGCGGCGUGCUUAACACAUGCAAGUCGAACGGUGAAGCGCCUUACUGUUUGGUGGGUGUGGAUGAGUGGCGAACGGGCGAGUAACACGUGAGUAACCUGCCCCCUUCUUCUGUAUAACCGCAUGAAAGCGUGGCUAAUACGGGAUAUUCGGGGUCUGUCGCAUGAUGGGUCUGUGAAAGAUAUUGUUUCGGUGGGGGUUGGGCUCCCGGCCUAUCAGCCUGUUGGUGGGGUGAGGGCCGACAAAGGGGGUGGCGGGUAGCCGGCCUGGGCGGGUGGACGGUCAGACUGGGACGGAGGCACGGCCAAGACGCGUAUGAGAGGCAGCAGUGGGGAAUACUGGACGAUGGGGGCAAGACUGAUGCAGAGUGGCCGCGUGACGGAUGGAGCCCUGCGGGGUGUGAGACUCUUGCGUUAGGGAAGCAGGGCUGCCUCGUCUGUGAGUGGGUUGACGGUAGCUGGAUAAGAAGCGCCGGCUAACUACGUG
rnacentral:rRNA from 1 species